rnacentral:ncRNA from 1 species
AAUCGAACCGUCUAGUAGCUGGUUCCCUUCGAAGUUUCCCUCAGGAUAGCUGGCGCUCUGUCGCAGUUUUAUCUGGUAAAGCGAAUGAUUAGAGGUCUUGGGGGCGAAACGCCCUCAACCUAUUCUCAAACUUUAAAUUGGUAAGAAGCCCGACUCGCUCGUUUGGAGCCGGGCAUGGAAUGCGAGUGCCAAGUGGGCCACUCUUGGUAAGCAGGACUGGCGAUGCGGGAUGAACCGAACGCCGGGUUAAGGCGCCCGACGCGACGCUCAUCAGAGCCCACAAAAGGUGUUGGUUGAUAUAGACAGCAGGACGGUGGCCAUGGAAGUCGGAAACCGCUAAGGAGUGUGUAACAACUCACCUGCCGAAUCAAUCAGCCCUGAAAAUGGAUGGCGCUGGAGCGUCGGGCCUAUACCCGGCCGUCGCGGCGGUACGAGCAUCGAGUUGGUGCGCUAGGCCGCGACGAGUAGGAGGGCCGCGGCGGCGGGCGUAGAAGCCUAGGGCGCGAGCCCGGGUGGAGCAGCCGUCGGUGCAGAUCUUGGUGGUAGUAGCAAAUAUUCAAAUGAGAACUUUGAAGGCCGAAGUGGAUUAAGGGUUCCAUGUGAACAGCAGUUGAACAUGGGUCAGUCGACCCUAAGGGAUAGGCGAAGGCCGUUCUGAAGCGGGGUGAUGUUCGCGUCGCCCCGGCGGACCGAAAGGGAAUCGGGUUAAUAUUCCCGAACCUCGACGCGGAGAUUGGCGCUCCGGCGCCUAGUGCGGCAACGCAAACGAACUCGGAAACGCCGACGUGGGUCCCGGGAAGAGUUCUCUUUUCUUGGUAAGGGGCGGCGACCCUGGAAUCGGUUCGCCCGGAGAUAGGGACAUGGGCCCCGUAAAGCAGCACGUCUCUUGUGCUGUCCGGUGAGCUCGCGUCGGCCCUUGAAAAUCCGAGGGAGACGGUGUAAUUUUCGUGCGAGGUCGUACCCAUAUCCGCAGCAGGUCUCCAAGGUGAACAGCCUCUGGCCGAUAGAACAAUGUAGGUAAGGGAAGUCGGCAAACUAGAUCCGUAACUUCGGGAAAAGGAUUGGCUCUAGGGGCUGGGUCGGUCGGGCUGAGGUACGAAGCGGGGCGCGGGCGCUGUACCGGACUGGGCGAACGACGCCUUCCCUCCCGGGGGGCUGGCGUGAG